ACGAACGCUUGCGGCGUGCUUAACACAUGCAAGUCGAACGGAAAGGCCCUGCUUUUGUGGGGUGCUCGAGUGGCGGACGGGUGAGUAACACGUGAGUAACCUGCCCUUGACUUUGGGAUAACUUCAGGAAACUGGGGCUAAUACCGGAUAGGAGCUCCUGCUGCAUGGUGGGGGUUGGAAAGUUUCGGCGGUUGGGGAUGGACUCGCGGCUUAUCAGCUUGUUGGUGGGGUAGUGGCUUACCAAGGCUUUGACGGGUAGCCGGCCUGAGAGGGUGACCGGCCACAUUGGGACUGAGAUACGGCCCAGACUCCUACGGGAGGCAGCAGUGGGGAAUAUUGCACAAUGGGCGGAAGCCUGAUGCAGCAACGCCGCGUGCGGGAUGACGGCCUUCGGGUUGUAAACCGCUUUCGCCUGUGACGAAGCGUGAGUGACGGUAAUGGGUAAAGAAGCACCGGCUAACUACGUG
rnacentral:rRNA from 1 species